rnacentral:snRNA from 1 species
GGAUAUGAGGGCAAUCUGGCUGUGACAUCUGUCUCCCACUGAUCGCCGGGGUAGAUUCGGCUGAUGAGGCUGGCUAGUCGGGUGUUCCCUUCCUCCCUCACCACUCCAUGUGCGUCCCUCCCAAAGCUGUGGGCUUGGUCGGCCAUCCCUGAUAGAAGAGGACUGUUCUUCACCAAGAGUAUAUGAGUAGCUGCACUCCCUGCUAGAUCCUCCAAGCAAGCUCUCAAAAAGGUAAAUAAGACUGGCGAAAAAUGUUUUUAUUCUUGUCCAUUUCCUAAAAGCACUUCUAGUUGUGAAGG